AAACCGCUCCCUAAGUUUUGUAACUUUAGAAGUUUUGGCCCCCCAAGGCCAAUUUUUGGUAAAAAUAAAUAAAUAACAAGUGGCACCUCACUUAGGGUGCCACGUCAGCGUAGACCGAGUCAAAAUUGGCUUUGGGGACCAAAACUACCAAGAUGCAAAACUUAAGGGGCAGUUU
rnacentral:pre_miRNA from 1 species